rnacentral:rRNA from 1 species
CCUACGGGUGGCAGCAGUAGGGAAUUUUCGUCAAUGGGCGCAAGCCUGAACGAGCAAUGCCGCGUGAACGAGGAAGGUCUUCGGAUCGUAAAGUUCUGUUGAAGGGGAAAAAGAGCGGAGAGAGGAAAUGAUCUCUGAUUGAUAUUACCCUUCGAGGAAGUCACGGCUAACUACGUGCCAGCAGCCGCGGUAAUACGUAGGUGGCGAGCGUUAUCCGGAGUGAUUGGGCGUAAAGGGUGCGUAGGCGGCCUGCUAAGUCUGGAGUGAAAGGUACCGGCUCAACCGGUACAGGCUCUGGAAUCUGGGGAGCUAGAGGGAAGGAGAGGGCGGUGGAACUCCAUGGGUAGCGGGAAAAUGCGUAGAUAUAUGGAAGGAAACCAGUGGCGAAGGCGGCCGCCUGGCCUGUUGACUGACGCUGAGGCACGAAAGCGUGGGGAGCAAAUAGGAUUAGAUACCCCUGUAGUC